UACGGAAGGCAGCAGUGGGGAAUAUUGGACAAUGGGCGCAAGCCUGAUCCAGCCAUGCCGCGUGUGUGAAGAAGGCCUUCGGGUUGUAAAGCACUUUUGUCCGGAAAGAAAAGCUUAGGGUUAAUAACCUUGAGUCAUGACGGUACCGGAAGAAUAAGCACCGGCUAACUUCGUGCCAGCAGCCGCGGUAAUACGAAGGGUGCAAGCGUUACUCGGAAUUACUGGGCGUAAAGCGUGCGUAGGUGGUUUGUUAAGUCUGAUGUGAAAGCCCUGGGCUCAACCUGGGAAUGGCAUUGGAAACUGGCUUACUAGAGUGCGGUAGAGGGGUGUGGAAUUCCCGGUGUAGCAGUGAAAUGCGUAGAUAUCGGGAGGAACAUCUGUGGCGAAGGGCGACACCCUGGGACCAGGCACUGACACUGAGGCACGAAAGCGUGGGGAGCGAAAC
rnacentral:rRNA from 1 species